rnacentral:rRNA from 1 species
GAUGAACGCUGGCGGCGUGCCUAAUACAUGCAAGUCGAGCGAACAGACGAGGAGCUUGCUCCUCUGACGUUAGCGGCGGACGGGUGAGUUACACGUGGAUAACCUACCUAUAAGACUGGGAUAACUCCGGGAAACCGGCGCUAAUACCGGAUCAUAUAUUGAACCGCAUGGUUCAUUAGUAAAAGACGGUUUUGCUGUUACUUAUAGCUGACUCCGCGCCGCCUUAGCUAGUUGGUAAGGUAACGGCUUACCAACGCGACGAUGCGUAGCCGUCCUGAGAGGGUGAUCGCCCACCAUGUAACGGUGGCACGGUCCAGACUCCUAGGGUAGGCAGCAGUAGGGAAUCUUCCGCAAUGGGCGAAAGCCUGACGGAGCAGCGCCGCGUGAGGGAUGAAGGGCUUCGGAUCGUAAAACUCUGUUAUUAGGUAAGAACAAAUGUGUAAGUAACUAUGCACGUCUUGACGGUACCUAAUCAGAAGGCCACGGCUAACUACGUA